UACACACACAAACACAUACACAAUAACUUCACAGAUGGCUUCAACAGUAUCGACAACAUGACUAAUGACAGCAGCAGUGACAAUGAUGGCAAUAACAACUACCACAAUGGCAGUACAUGGACAAACACAUAAACACAGAGAGAUACAGGAACUAUACCAAAUUUUUGGGUCCUAGGACAGCAGCAUCCACAACAGAGGGAAAGGCUGGGGCUGAAGACACAUAUCUUGCUGAGUUACUGAGAAAAUAAUUGGAUCAGACAGUUUACAACUGAGACCAAGACAGAAAAAGGUGAGCUUGAAAUGGGGAGAUGGCAGUAGAGAAACAAAAAACAAACCAGACAGGAAUAACUGAACAAUUUUGAUGUGCUGACUUGUUAAUUACUGCUGAUACUAACAACCCUCAACCAUAUGACAUGAUUGUCAUUUGAUUGUGGUCAUGCUGGAGCACCAUCUUGAGUCAAACAAAUCGACCCCAGAACUUAUUCUUUUCACUUUUCCAUGCAUGCAUGGGUUGGAUGGAAUUUUUGUCAAGCCAAUUUUCUUCAGCUGGAUCCUGUCACCAAACCUCAUCUGUUUCCAAGAAAAGUAAUAUUUCCUUAUAACCAGACAUGUAUUCCACUUCUCAAUCAUUGUUCAUACAUCAUCAUCACCAUUAGUUUCUAUAAAUACUUCUUCUUCUUCCAUCAUCUUUGAAACUGUGCAUUCUCCACCUCUCCAACCAUUACACAGAGCGAUUUCUGUAUCCAUCAGUUCUUUACCUAUAUAUCUAUCCUUCUAUCUGGUAUACUAUUUAACCAACUAAACCACACCAUUUCAUUCAAUGUCUGGUGAAGCCUUUGGGCAAAACUAAGUAUAA